GGCGAGUUGGCGGAGUGGUUACGCAGCGGAUUGCAAAUCCGUCCACACCGGUUCGAUUCCGGUACUCGCCUCCA
rnacentral:tRNA from 3 species